GACAAACCCUUAUUUUUCCAUUAACAUACUCUAGCCAUGUUUUUUCUACAUUGCUUUUAUCUGCUACCUUUUUACAAAGAAUUAACAAAACCAAAUCCUCACCUCACCAAACCUCUUGUAAAACCGACCAAACACUGAUCCAAAAUUUGUCUUCAUCGCGCUUCAUAACCCAUAUCAUAGCAUCACCACACGACAUUCGCAUAUCUGUUUCCGGCCAUGACGACUUGCAAUUUCAACCAGUAAUUAUCCCCAACCAGCAAUGACGAUAAUCUCUCCAUCUUCUCUCGAUCGCGUCUCUCUGCUCGCGAUCCUCUUUGUCUCGGUUCGGCCAAACAUCAAACAGUAUAUAAAUUCCCUAAAGCCUCGAUUCAAUCUAUCAACCUCUAUCAAUUUGGGAGCAAGAUUAAGGGGAAGUAUUGUUGUCUUUCUUCUGCUAACUUAUGUGCACUAAUUUUGCUGUUAUGAACUCAUUGUUGAUGGGCCUAGUAUGAACUUUGAAUUUGAAUUCACUUAUUCUUCAUGCUUGGCAGAUUUGGAUCUUGUAUUUGUUGUAACAGAUUUUUUUAAGAACUUGGAAGAAGAAGUAGAUCAAACCACAACACCGGCGCGAUUCGAACCUUCGACACACUUGAAACAUAGCAACACUCACCGGAUUUAAAUCAACAACGUCACCAUCGGAAUCGCAGAAUUGCACAGCAACAAUUUUCCACGCAUCAACAACAGCUCCACACUGCAAAUGCUGCUCUUCGGAUCCGACGACUGUUUUGCAGAUAUUCAUAGUUUGCUCAUGCAUGCAUGGAUUAAUCCAACGCUUCAGAGCCUGCAGUUCCAUGAUGAACCUUCAAGAUGCGACCACACCUGAUUCUAGCAUCCAGGUUAACCCUGAGGCUCCCUCCGACCGCCAACCAUGUCAGAUCAAAUUCAAAUGCAAAGCUAAGUGCCUUUUUAUUUAUUUAUUUAUUCUUAAUUUCUUUAUCUUUUAUUUUUAUUAGGGUUAGCAAUGUUCGCCUCCGAACCAAUAAUGCACUCACCCCAUUUUUUGGUUUGCCAUUUUUCCCGCCUUUUCAGGGUUUGUCAAUUGCCAAAGCGUCGAGUAUCGGUAACCCUAAUCUCAAUUAUAUUAUUACUUAUGUCAAACCCUGAUUAAUUAAGGGAUCCGCUGGUUACAAUUUCCCGCCCCCCGCAUUUUAUAUUAUCUGCGUGGUUAGUAAAAUAGGUAGUGGCAACCAUGAAUUGAAUUUAGAAUCGCUAAUUUACAAGAUAAUAUAUUGAAUUAACCACGUGAUUGUUGCACACACGCACCCUUUGGGUAACCUCUCUGCUGCCUUGUUGCCUUGUUGCCUGUUGCCUGUUGCCUUUGUGUUUUUGCAGAAUAAGCCACGUCCCUCGAAUUCGAAGAUACCUCAGCCAUGUUGCCUCGAAUACUAAAGGUCAUACGACCCUAAAUGAUGCUGCCUUCGAUACACAAUAUGACCUCGACCCUCGGAAGUUGCCCACGAAAAAAGGCUGAGGUAUCUUCUGGUUGCCUAACAAAAAUGGCUUAUUCUGAUCCUUGCCUUAGACUACCUGCCCUUCUAUGGCAUGGGAUAGUCUUAUGGCAAAGGAUGCUUCGAUGACCCUUCAACCUCCAAACGAAAGGCUUCUUGCCCUCUUAUGGCAAGGAUAGACCCUUUCAUUCUGAAAGGCUAAAAAGAGACCUAUCAUCUGAGUUUAAGGUAAUUGCCCCUAAUUGCCUUGCAAUGCUCAAACCUUUUUAUUAUAUUCUUUCUCAUAAUUUUUCAAAAGGGCAACGCUUAUUCACAUGCUAAAGUCCCUGUCUCUUUCAUCUACAUUAUCUAAACAAACGAGCAAGCAAAGCAAUUAAGAGCCCAUGGAAAACCAUGGAUGCAAAGGGUGCCUUACACCUUCCCUUUGCAUAAAUUACCCCCCGAACUUAGAUUUCUUUAAAAGGUUUUUUUCUGUUUCUUUUUGCCUUUCCGAACCUGUUUGGAUAAAAUAAAAGUCGGUGGCGACUCUUGCUUACCGCGACAUUCCGA